rnacentral:rRNA from 1 species
UACAGAGACUGCAAGCGUUAUUCGGAUUCACUGGGCGUAAAGGGUGCGCAGGCGGUUGGGUGUGUCAGAUGUGAAAUCCCGAGGCUUAACCUCGGAACUGCGUCUGAAACUACUCGACUAGAGUACUGGAGAGGGAAACGGAAUUCACGGUGUAGCAGUGAAAUGCGUAGAUAUCGUGAGGAACACCAGAGGCGAAGGCGGUUUCCUGGACAGUUGCUGACGCUCAGGCACGAAAGCGUGGGGAGCGAACAGG